ACAAUGCGGGACUAUCAGUCUUGCAAUUGGAUUGAGAACAAUGUACAACUCUUAUCGAUAAGCCAUUGGAGGGCAAGUCUGGUGCCAGCAGCCGCGGUAAUUCCAGCUCCAAUAGCGUAUAUUAACGUUGUUGCAGUUAAAAAGCUCGUAGUUGAAGUGUGGGUGAUCGCUGUUGUGAGACUUCGGUCUCUCGACAGUAAGUCACCCCCUUCCAGUAUCCAGUAGUGGGUAUUCAGUUACUUACUAUUGUGUGUUGGUCGUUUACUGUGAGAAAAUUAGAGUGUUCAAAGCAGGCGUUUGCUUGAAUAGAUUAGCAUGGAAUAAUAAUUGAAGGCUUUCGUGUUCGAUUUGAUUGGUUUGUUCAUGGAAGCAAGGUUAAAAGGAACAGUUGGGGGUAUUCAUAUUCACUAGUUAGAGUGAAAUUCUCGGAUUUAUGGAA
rnacentral:rRNA from 1 species